AUUGAACGCUGGCGGCAUGCCUAACACAUGCAAGUCGAACGGCAGCACAAUAAAGAUUUCGGUCUUAUGGGUGGCGAGUGGCGGACGGGUGAGUAACGCGUAGGAAUCUGUCCUGGAGAGUGGGAUAACCCGAGGAAACUCGGGCUAAUACUGCAUGACAUUGAGAGAUCAAAAGCAGGGGACCGAAAGGCCUUGCGCUCUGGGGUUAGCCUAGGUCGGAUUAGCUAGUUGGUGGGGUAAAGGCCUACCAAGGCGACGAUCCGUAGCUGGUCUGAGAGGAUGACCAGCCACACUGGGACUGAGACACGGCCCAGACUCCUACGGGAGGCAGCAGUGGGGAAUCUUGGACAAUGGGGGAAACCCUGAUCCAGCGAUGCCGCGUGUGUGAAGAAGGCCUUCGGGUUGUAAAGCACUUUAGGUGGGGAAGAAAGGUAGCGAGUGAAUAACUUUCUGCUGUGACGGUACCCACAGAAUAAGCACCGGCUAACUCUGUGCCAGCAGCCGGCCGUAA
rnacentral:rRNA from 1 species